UUUCGCAAUGCCCGAAAGGGUGACGAAGCGACGCCGCGUGCGGGAAGAAGGCCUUCGGGUUGUAAACCGCUGUCGGGAGUUAAGAAAUGUAAGGAUGUUAAUAGCAUCUUUGCUUGACUAAGGCUCCAGAGGAAGCCACGGCUAACUCUGUGCCAGCAGCCGCGGUAAUACAGAGGCGGCAAGCGUUGUUCGGAAUUAUUGGGCGUAAAGAGCACGUAGGCGGCUAUGUAAGUCGGUUGUGAAAGCCUUCCGCUCAACGGGAGAACAGCAUCCGAUACUGCAUGGCUUGAGUGCGGGAGGGGAGAGUGGAACUUCUGGUGGAGCGGUGAAAUGCGUAGAUAUCAGAAGGAACGCCGGCGGCGAAAGCGGCUCUCUGGCCCAUAACUGACGCUGAGUGUGCGAAAGCUAGGGGAGCAAACGGGAUUAGAUACCCCGGUAGUCCUAGCCGUAAACGAUGGGCACUAAGUAGAGGGGUUUU
rnacentral:rRNA from 1 species